AAGAUAAAAGAGUAAAAGAAGUAUUAAGUGCAAGCAAAGUUGGAAAAUUCUGCGAUAAGUUACGAGAAAGAAAGUCAAGAAAAGUUAAGAAAAGCGAAUCGAGAAAACGAAAUGAAGUUCUUUGGUGGUGCUUUUCUAAUACUUGUGACGAUAAUGUUAAUCUUGGUACCACUGACAAUCGGUCAGAAGAAUAAGGAUGUAAUGGAUGUAAUAAAAAAUAAUACACAACCCAAGAAUAAGACACUCUGCGCUGAAUGUAAAGUACUACAACCUACAAUACAUAUAAAUGCAUUUAUAAAUGCACCUAGAAGAACAACUGCAAGUCCAUGUCCGAAGGGCCAGAGACAGGAUGCCGGAGGAGUAUGUCGCUCACUCAUAUAACGAGCGAAAAAGGCUCGCAGAUAUCAACAUUUCAGCAAUAUCAGCGAUAAAAGCGAUAUCCAAAAAUAUCGUCUCAACAAACAGAAAACUGAAAAUACACACUAUACUUUUUGUAUCCACCAGGAUUAUAAUAACUUCAAAUUGUACAGUUAAUUUUAAUUGUAUUGAUCAUGAUCUUGACAUUCCUGAACAACAUUUAAAAAGGUUUAAUCAUCACCUUAUCGAACCAAUCGAACACCUUAGCUAAUGCUAAUGCCGGCGGUAUUGUAAUUUUUAAG